AAAGCUUCUAAACGAACCUAUGGCAUAACGUAUUCUUCUCCCGAAAAUUAUGACAGUUCAUGUUACUGGAUAUACAUAUAAUUGCGUAAUUAUUAUACUGAUUGUUGGGAUGACUUUGAAGAUGGGAAAUUUCACUAUGAAUGUUAUUAUUUCAUAAAGAAGUAAUGAAGUUUGAUAUUUUGUAUUGAAAAUGGUACAUAAAGUUAGAGUAUGCGAGUUGUUUGCCAAGCUCGGGUGUCUCGGGACGUUUUCCCUAAUGUAGGCUUUUGUGCCCGAGUGUCAUAUAUGAGAACAUGCGGAGUAAAUGUGUUGGUGUGCCUGUUUUGCCAGGUAGUAUAUUUUCUGGUAUGUCUGCUAAUUAUAAAUAGGUAGGGCCGGGCAGAUUGUCACAGUCUCUAGUCGGGUUAGGGACAUUUUUGCGUGACAACCUGCUUCUGGAAAUAAAAUUUGAAGAAUCGAGGGUAAAGCUGGAACGAGUGAAGAAUGUCGCUCAUUUUUGGCUUUGCCUAUCGGUUUUUCGAAUUUUCGCGGUCUCUAGAAAUCUUGAAACGAGCGUUGCGCUUGACAUUUUACGGAUAACGAUCAUUACGAUCAUUAUUAAUUUCCUUUGUUAUUUUUUUUUUAUUU